GACGAACGCUGGCGGCGUGCUUAACACAUGCCAGUCGAACGGAAAGGCCCUGCUUUUGUGGGGUGCUCGAGUGGCGAACGGGUGAGUAACACGUGAGUAACCUGCCCUUGACUUUGGGAUAACUUCAGGAAACUGGGGCUAAUACCGGAUAGGAGCUCCUGCUGCAUGGUGGGGGUUGGAAAGUUUCGGCGGUUGGGGAUGGACUCGCGGCUUAUCAGCUUGUUGGUGGGGUAGUGGCUUACCAAGGCUUUGACGGGUAGCCGGCCUGGGGGGGUGACCGGCCCCAUUGGGGCUGGGAUACGGCCCAGACCCCUACGGGGGGCAGCAGUGGGGAAUAUUGCACAAUGGGCGGAAGCCUUAUGCAGCAACGCCGCGUGCGGGAUUACGGCCUUCGGGUUGUAAACCGCUUUCGCCUGUGACGAAGCGUGAGUGACGGUAAUGGGUAAAGAAGCACCGGCUAACUACGUG
rnacentral:rRNA from 1 species